rnacentral:rRNA from 1 species
GACGAACGCUGGCGGCGUGCUUAACACAUGCAAGUCAAGGAGAAAGUUCCUUUCGGGGAGCGAUUAAACUGGCGCACGGGUGAGUAAUAUAUAAGCAAUCUACCUAUGGGUUCGGAAUAACGUCGAGAAAUCGGCGCUAAUACCGUAUAAUGCAGCGGCAUCGCAUGGUGAUGUUGUUAAAGUUUAAUUAACGCCUAUAGAUGAGCUUGUAUCUGAUUAGCUAGUUGGUGAGGUAACGGCCACCAAGGCUACGAUCAGUAGCUGGUCUGAGAGGAUGAUCAGCCACAUUGGAACUGAGACACGGUCCAGACUCCUACGGGAGGCAGCAGUGAGGAAUAUUGGGCAAUGGGCGAAAGCCUGACCCAGCAACGCCGCGUGAAGGAUGAAUGUCGUAAGAUUGUAAACUUCUUUUUGAGGAGACGAAAAAACGAGUUGGUAGCUCGAACUGACUGUACCCUUAGAAUAAGCCCGGCUAACUACGUGCCAGCAG